GAUGAACGCUGGCGGCGUGCCUAAUACAUGCAAGUCGAGCGAACAGACGAGGAGCUUGCUCCUUUGACGUUAGCGGCGGACGGGUGAGUAACACGUGGGUAACCUACCUAUAAGACUGGGAUAACUUCGGGAAACCGGAGCUAAUACCGGAUAAUAUUUCGAACCGCAUGGUUCGAUAGUUAAAGAUGGCUCGGCUAUCACUUAUAGAUGGACCUGCGACGUAUUAGCUAGUUGGUAAGGUAACGGCGUACCAAGGCAACGAUACGUAGCCGACCUGAGAGAGUAAUCGGCCACGCUGGAACUGAGACACGGUCCAUACUCCUACGGGAGGCAGCAGUAGGGAAUCUUCCACAAUGGGCGAAAGCCUGACGGAGCAACGCCGCGUGAGUGAUGAAGGUCUACGGAUCGUAAAACUCUGUUAUUAGGGAAGAACAAACGUGUAUGUAAUUGUGAACGUCUUGACGGUACCUAAUCAGAAAGCCACGGCUAACUACGUGCCAGCAGCCGCAGUAA
rnacentral:rRNA from 1 species